rnacentral:rRNA from 1 species
AUUGAACGCUGGCGGCAGGCCUAACACAUGCAAGUCGAACGAGUGGCGGACGGGUGAGUAAUGUCUGGGCAACUGCCUGAUGGAGGGGGAUAACUACUGGAAACGGUCGCUAAUACCGCAUACCAUCGGAUGUGCCCAGCUGGGAUUAGCUCGUAGGUGGGGUAAAGGCUCACCUAGGCGACGAUCCCUAGCUGGUCUGAGAGGAUGACCAGCCAGACUGGAACUGAGACACGGUCCAGACUCCGACGGGAGGCAGCAGUGGGGAAUAUGGCACAAUGGGCGCAAGCCUGAUGCAGCCAUGCCGCGUGUAUGAAGAAGGCCUGCGGGUGGUAAAGUACUUUCAGCGGGGAGGCGUUACCAGCAGAAGAAGCACCGGCUAACGCCGUGCCAGCAGCCGCGGUAAUUC